UACGAACGCUGGCGGCGUGCUUAACACAUGCAAGUCGAACGGAAAGGCCCUGCUUUUGUGGGGUGCUCGAGUGGCGAACGGGUGAGUAACACGUGAGUAACCUGCCCUUGACUUUGGGAUAACUUCAGGAAACUGGGGCUAAUACCGGAUAGGAGCUCCUGCUGCAUGGUGGGGGUUGGAAAGUUUCGGCGGUUGGGGAUGGACUCGCGGCUUAUCAGCUUGUUGGUGGGGUAGUGGCUUACCAAGGCUUUGACGGGUAGCCGGCCUGAGAGGGUGACCGGCCACAUUGGGACUGAGAUACGGCCCAGACUCCUACGGGAGGCAGCAGUGGGGAAUAUUGCACAAUGGGCGGAAGCCUGAUGCAGCAACGCCGCGUGCGGGAUGACGGCCUUCGGGUUGUAAACCGCUUUCGCCUGUGACGAAGCGUGAGUGACGGUAAUGGGUAAAGAAGCACCGGCUAACUACGU
rnacentral:rRNA from 1 species